ACUGACCCCAAGGUUCUGAGGGUUGUUUUCCUUGACUGCACAGAACUCUAGCAUAGUAACUAGAUAUAAAGUUCCAGUCCUGGGCUGUCCUGGGAUUUUCUGAGUCUUAGAACCCCUCUGUAGUGUCCGCUAGUCAUUUAGGACCUUAGUUGCUGUGUGUUCUUAGUAGUGUCUUUAUCUAGGGAUGACAACGACAUCAUCCUAUUCAGCCAGGAAAUGUUCCAAGCUUUGAAGAAGAGCCCUGCCCUCUCUACUGAGCUCUGGCCCCUGGAGCAGGUUUUCAGUAGACACAAUAAAGUAGCAGAAUACAGUAAUGGAUUGCAGAUGUAAUUGAAGGCCCUGGGUCGCUCUUCCUGGUCCUGUUUGCCUCUGGCCUCUCAGAGAAAGCACUGAACUGAGAAGAGGAGAAAAGGACAAAUUAUGGACAAGAGUAAUAUACCAACAAAGAGAACAGGUCAUCAUAACUCAGUUGAAGACAACUGAUAAUGAGAAGAAUGCUAAUUGGUUUCCUCCCUCUUAUCACUGAUCCCUACACAACCAGAAAAAUUUUCAUCCAACUUUACUGAAAGAGGACCACGGCUGAAUCCAAUAAAAGAAACAUAUUGUUAGAACAGCUUUCAUCUGCUCAAUUUACUAUGUAAAAUCUGGAAGAAAUGUAUGUUGAUAAACUUGGCCUGAUCCAAUGUCACAUUUCA